rnacentral:lncRNA from 1 species
UGCGAGAAGUAAUCAGAAUGUUCUUAGAGCUUUGUAUCGUCGGUGUAAGGUAAAGGAAGCUAGUUUUACUUGAUUUGUUUGAUAGAAGACUUCUAAUUAAUGUUUGUAUGGUGAAUUAUUGAUUUAAUUGUGAAAUUGUAUUGGAUUAAGAAAUUUAGUAUGUUGAAUUGAUUGUAUAUAUGUGUUGGUGUGAAAAUUGAUUUAACAGUGAGGUACAAUGUGAUUCUGAUGUAAAACUUGUGUGUGAUGAAUUUAAAGAUGUUAAAUUCAGCGAAGUAGGAGAUGUCAAAUUGUAUAAAGCUUUUUUUACAUUUCAGCCGAAGAAAUAGGUACUUUUUAGGCUAGAAAGGGGGUUUUGAUAGGUGAAAAGUUAAGGGAAGGGUUAUUUUGGCUAAGCUGUGUUUUGGCAGGGGUCUAAGUGUUGAUUAAGACUUGUUUGAGUGUUAUGACAACAAAUUUAUGAGGUAGAACUGAUUGUUAUCCUUUUUAGUGUGUUUUGUAUGAUUUUUGGUUCAUUUUCAGGGGUUUUCACUAGUGAGAUUCUGAAUUAGAUGAUAUGGAAUAAAUGUGAUGGUUUGGGGACUGUUGUUAAGUUCAUUAAGACUUGUUCAAGCUGUUAGUUGCAGAAAAUUUGUGUUGAAAGGUAUAAAAUUGAGUUUAAGUGGUUUAAAGUAAUUAAGUUGACUUGAGAUAGCAAAUUUAGUCAGGAAAGUGUUUUACAAUGUUGCUCACUACAUAGGAGGUCUUAAGGAACAUUAGAGUGUGCGGGGAAAGUGUCCAAGUUGAGAUUUGAAGUGUAUAUCUAUGAGAGGUUAGUAACUACUCUGAAAAAUUCCACAACUCAUGGAAAAAUCCACAAUCUGCUUGUUCUUUUCUUUGUUUUCAAUUUCAUACUUCCUAAAGUAAAUCCACAAGUUGUGGAAAAAGCCACAACAUAGUUGUUGAACUUGCUGGUUUUCAAUUUC